rnacentral:rRNA from 1 species
UACAGAGGUCCCAAGCGUUGUUCGGAUUCAUUGGGCGUAAAGGGUGCGUAGGCGGCUUGUCACGUCGGAUGUGAAAGCCCGGGGCUUAACCCCGGGUCUGCAUUCGAUACGGGCAGGCUAGAGUUCGGUAGGGGAGACUGGAAUUCCUGGUGUGAGCGGUGGAAAUGACGCAGAUAUCAGGAGGAACACCGAUGGCGAAGGCAGGUCUCUGGGCAUUAACUGACGCUGAGGAGCGAAAGCAUGGGGAGCGAACAGG